AAAUAGCCCGGCCGGCUUUGGCUGGUCGCUGGCUUCUUAGAGGGACUAUCAGCGUUUAGCCGAUGGAAGUUUGAGGCAAUAACAGGUCUGUGAUGCCCUUAGAUGUUCUGGGCCGCACGCGCGCUACACUGACCGAACCAGCGAGUUUAUCACCUUGGCCGGAAGGCCUGGGUAAUCUUGUGAAACUCGGUCGUGAUGGGGAUAGAGCAUUGCAAUUAUUGCUACUCAACGAAGAAUACCUAG
rnacentral:rRNA from 1 species